rnacentral:rRNA from 1 species
UACAUGGGGUGCAAACGUUGCUCGGAAUUAUUGGGCGUAAGCGCACGUAGGCGGUUUGUUAAGUCGGAUGUGAAAUCCCUCGGCUCAACUGAGGAAGUGCAUCCGAAACUGGCAGGCUUGAGUACUAAAGAGGGUCGCGGAAUUCCCGGUGUAGAGGUGAAAUUCGUAGAUAUCGGAAGGAACACCAGUGGCGAAAGCGGCUUCCUGGUCCAGCACCGACGUCAGGCACGAAAGCGUGGGGAGCAAACAGG